rnacentral:rRNA from 1 species
GCAUAUCAAUAAGCGGAGGAAAAGAAACUAACAAGGAUUCCCCUAGUAACGGCGAGUGAAGCGGGAAGAGCUCAAAUUUGUAAUCUGGCACUUUCAGUGUCCGAGUUGUAAUCUCGAGAAGUGUUUUCCGCGCCGGACUGCAUACAAGUCUGUUGGAAUACAGCGUCAUAGUGGUGAGAACCCCGUAACUGAUGCAGAUGCCCGGUGCUUUGUGAUACACUUUCGAAGAGUCGAGUUGUUUGGGAAUGCAGCUCAAAUUGGGUGGUAAAUUCCAUCUAAAGCUAAAUAUUGGCGAGAGACCGAUAGCGAACAAGUACCGUGAGGGAAAGAUGAAAAGCACUUUGGAAAGAGAGUUAACAGUACGUGAAAUUGUUGGAAGGGAAACGAUUGAAGUCAGACUUGUUAUCUGGAGUUCAGCCUUUCGGUGUACUCUCCAGUUUACAGGCCAGCAUCAGUUUUCGGGGCGGGAAAAUCGUAAUUUGAAGGUAGCAGCCUAGCUGUGUUAUAGCUUUUUACUGGAUUCCGCUUUGGGGACUGAGGAACGCAGUGUGCUUUUAGCAAUACCCUCGGGUAUUUCACACUUAGGAUGCUGGUGGAAUGGCUUUAAACGACCCGUCUUGAAACACGGACCAAGGAGUCUAACAUGCUUGCGAGUAUUUGGGUGUCAAACCCGGAUGCGCAAUGAAAGUGAAUGAAGGUGGGAUCCGCAAGGUGCACCAUCGACCGAUCUGGAUUUUUUAAGAUGGAUUUGAGUAAGAGCAAUUAUGUUGGGACCCGAAAGAUGGUGAACUAUGCCUGAAUAGGGCGAAGCCAGAGGAAACUCUGGUGGAGGCUCGUAGCGGUUCUGACGUGCAAAUCGAUCGUCAAAUUUGGGUAUAGGGGCGAAAGACUAAUCGAACCAUCUAGUAGCUGGUUCCUGCCGA